GGAGCGACUUAUCAACGUCUGGU
rnacentral:siRNA from 1 species